GUGACUUGUCUUUGCCGAGAGCCACUAUUGCAAAGUCGAAACGUAAUGUCAGUGUUAGCUACGUGGGUGUGCUACCAAGAAAGGUGUUCCCAACAGGCAAAUAGCCAGCAAGUGUGGAUGUUUUGAUAAAGUGGGUUACGAGCGUAUUAAGGACAUUUUUAGUGAAUUCUGGGCCACAGGUAACUACGCCAAACAGAAUGCCUUCCUUGGUAAUCUCGCCAAGGCUGGAGUGAUAAAGCCACGCCUCAAGGGUCGGGGUCUCCCACCAUGUCGGUUGUGUUUGGUGAUAUCACUUAUAGUGUUUGCCGUAAAGCUUUUUACAGCAUCCACAGUAUAUCUGAAAGACGUGUGAGGACUAUCUUGGGCAAUAAGCAGGGUACAAACCCUAAUGUGAGGAAGAUCAGGGGCGAGAAGCGACAAGUGGUAAAAGAGCACAUUAAAAGUAGUCCAGCAGUGUUGAAUCACUGUAGCAGGGCAAAAAGUCCCAAUACAAAAUACCUAGCAACUAACCUCAAUGUUAAUGCCCUUUACGUUUUGUACUACGAUUGGAUCGAGGCAAACCACAGUGGUCACGAGCCAGUUUCCAGUGAUUACUGUCACGAGAUAUUGUUAUUGAGUUCAAUCUUGGAUUUUCCUCUUCAAUGGCUGACAUAAGAAACUUUUGUGAUAGACUAACUAUGAGAUACGCUCGUUGGAACCUGAGGGAGGACAGUGCGCGUAUCACCAACUCAUUAAAGUAUCUUGGCAAAACAACUCUAUCAAGGGGAAUGUAAACGAACUCCACGAGAAAUUGGAAAAAGAAGAAAACAGCGAAGGCGAAGAAAUCAAAC
rnacentral:misc_RNA from 1 species